UACAAAAUAGCCCAAACGUUACUCCAAUGUGCUUCCCCAGGUUAGAAACAGAACGAACACGAGAUACGGAGAUGGGGCGUCGGGUCGCCUGCGGCGGACCUCACCGUGUGCUGCCUUAUGACCUCGCCGUGUUCCAACGUCCAGCAGAUAGCACGCCCCAUCCCUGGGCCGCCGUUCUCCACCUCGGCUCCAACACCUCACCACACCCGACGCCUACCUCCGCCAUCCGUCGACGGCUAGAUCCGCCAUCCGUGGAUGCCUAGCUCCGCUAUUCGCCGAGACCGGAGAAGGGAACUCCAGCCUUCACGUAUCCUUUUGGAUGUUACAACCUUGUAAUUUAUUGUGUAUUUUGCUUCUAAUCCAUCAUCCUGUAUGUGUUGGAUGUAUUAGAUGUAGAUAAUCCUAUCUGAUUAAACUGGGAUGAUAUAUCUCUGUCUCAGGGGCGUAGGAAAAAUAAUUACUGAAAUAACUUGCACUAUUUUGCUUAGACUGCUAAUUUGAGCAAAUUAGGUAGAGAAAAAUGUCAUCAACCUAUGGCCUGAGAUGAGUUCAAAGUAUUUUUAUCUACUUGUUCAAGUGCCUGAAUAUGAAGUGCUUGUUGGCACAAGAUUGAGAUUCAUUAACACUUGUAAUAUGUGCCUCACUCAUUUCUAAAAGUUCCCCGUAUGUUUGUUAGGUAUUUCCAUCGAAAUCAAUGCGAUUGUAGUUUUGGUUUAGUGAAUUAAAUUUAUUAGCUCUUUGGUCUUCCUCAUUCAGGUGUAAAAUAAUAGAUCCUCAUAUUGUUCUGUAAGUAGAUUACUCUGGAUUCUGAACAAUGUUAAGUAGAAAGCGCACUUACAAUGUCUAACCGAACUUCGUGAAACCAUUACAAGUUCAUCUUCCAAGAGCUUCUUCUGGGAUCUGGAUCCGUAUUGUGCACUAUUUAGGUUAGGUGACAGGCCAGAGCUUCGUUUCACUUCUCAACAGAGUUUUCUUUAUGCGGUCCACUUGAACCCACCGCGGCGGCGGGGGGGUGUAAGCCAGGAGUGUAUGCGAUUGGACAAGAGACUCCAGCUGCGAUGGUUCCGACGAAGAUUUCUGGAACUUCCUUGGUGAUGGUGACAACGCCUACUCAGAGGACGAAGCGACACCCAGGCACCAUCUUUUGGUUCCCAAUAACGAAUGUUUAUAGCAGCAAUGAUAUGUAUGAAGAUUAUCUCCAUACAUAUUUUCAGGCCACACAAGUCACCGGCUCUAGUUAUUUUUGGCACCAUGUAAACAAGAAUGUACACUUGCCAAAAAAUAUAAUAGUAUGCAACAUUUUUGGUAGUUCAGAUGGGUGGUUGUUGUACAGUUCAUGUGCAUGCUUGCGAUGAUCCAAUGUAAAAUAGUAUGCAUGUUCUUGCAUGGAAGCAUCUAAAGAAAUGUGUUCAGAGAUCUUUGGUUCGUUACAGUACAGAACAUCAUCGCAGUAGUUAUUUAUAAAGUUGUUUCUCUCA